AUUGAACGCUGGCGGCAUGCUUUACACAUGCAAGUCGAACGGUAACAGGCCGCAAGGUGCUGACGAGUGGCGAACGGGUGAGUAAUGCAUCGGAACGUGCCCAGUCGUGGGGGAUAACUACUCGAAAGAGUAGCUAAUACCGCAUACGAUCUAUGGAUGAAAGCGGGGGACCGUAAGGCCUCGCGCGAUUGGAGCGGCCGAUGUCAGAUUAGGUAGUUGGUGGGGUAAAGGCUCACCAAGCCAACGAUCUGUAGCUGGUCUGAGAGGACAACCAGCCACACUGGAACUGAGACACGGCCCAGACUCCUACGGGAGGCAGCAGUGGGGAAUUUUGGACAAUGGGCGCAAGCCUGAUCCAGCAAUGCCGCGUGCAGGAAGAAGGCCUUCGGGUUGUAAACUGCUUUUGUACGGAACGAAACGGCUCUGGUUAAUACCCGGGGCUAAUGACGGUACCGUAAGAAUAAGCACCGGCUAACUACGUG
rnacentral:rRNA from 1 species